AACUUUCCAGCCAACGGAAUCUCCUGGGCUCUCGCAUCGAUGAAGAACGCAGCGAAAUGCGAUAAGUAAUGUGAAUUGCAGAAUUCAGUGAAUCAUCGAAUCUUUGAACGCACCUUGCGCUCCUUGGUAUUCCGAGGAGCAUGCCUGUUUGAGUGUCAU
rnacentral:rRNA from 1 species